rnacentral:rRNA from 1 species
AUGGCCGCCGCGCUUUACCUCCCGGCGAACCCAAAUCCUCCGCCUAACCCCACCUCAACCCUCCGCCAGCCGCUGCCGCGGCCUUCCACUUCCGGCGAGCUCCACUUCCGUCCCCGCCUAGUGCCCCGUCGAGCCCGCGCUCGAACCCAUCUCCCCGCCGCGUUCGGGAGGCGACCGCCCGCGGCGGCUGCGGCCGAGCGCGGAGGGAAGGACUACUACGCCACGCUGAACGUCCGGCGCGACGCCACCAUGAAGGAGGUCAAGAGCGCCUACCGCACCCUCGCGCGCAAGUACCACCCGGAUAUGAACAAGAGCCCUGGGGCAGAAGAAAAAUUUAAGGAGAUAAGUGCUGCAUACGAGGUUCUGUCGGACAAAGAGAAAAGAUCUUUGUAUGAUCGGUUUGGAGAAACAGGACUUCAUGCAGAUUAUGGAGGUGGAGAUUUCAGUGCACAUGGGGUUGAUCCAUAUGAACUCUUCAAUGCAUUCUUUGGCAGUUCUAACAAAUUCUUUGGAGAUAGCAUGGGUCCAGGGCGAUUUCAUUACAGUUCAAAUGUCAAUGAUAACAGGGGACUUGAUAUUCGCUAUGAUCUUCUCCUUCCUUUUGAAGAAUCAAUCCUUGGAGGCAAACGGGAGAUCAGUAUUUCUCGACAUGAAACAUGUGGCGCUUGCCAUGGAUCUGGAGCUAAAUCUAGCGAUAGCAUAACAGAAUGUACACAAUGCAGAGGUCAAGGCAGGUCGAUGAAAUCUCAGAGGACACCUUUUGGUAUAGUAUCUCAGAUAUCUUCUUGCUUAAACUGUGAUGGCAGUGGGAAGAUAAUUACUGAUCAUUGCGCAAGCUGUUAUGGUUCAGGCAAAGUCCAAGUUGAACGAAGUAUAGAAGUAGACAUACCGGGAGGUAUUGAAGAUGGCUCAGCCGUUCGACUUACCGGAGGAGGUAGUGUUGAUAAGCAAAGGGGCGUAAGUGGUGACUUGUAUAUAUUUGUUCGUGUUGAAGAAAAACAAGGCAUCCACAGAGAAGGUCUCAAUCUGUGCUCGGAUGUCACGAUUGAUUACACUGAUGCAAUUUUAGGAACAACGGUGAAGGUUGAGACAAUAGAGGGAUUGAAGGAUCUUUAUAUUCCUCCUGGAACUCAGCCUGGGGAGAAGUUGAAGUUUGCGCAACUGGGAGCUCCAGACAUUAAGAGGCCUAACCAUAGAGGCGAUCACAACUUUGUGAUAAAGGUGAAGAUCCCAAGGAAUAUCAGUGACCAGGCACGUUCACUUGUUCAAGAUCUUGCCGCACUAAAGGGAACUCAGGGCAUUUCAGUUCCUAGUGAUGAAACUAUAGACCAAGGAAACUUGAGAGACGGAAGCCAUCAUUCUUCGGCAAGGAAGAAAACAUCGUUUUGGGGGUCUGUCAGGAAUCUGUUCAGGGCUGAUGAAGGGGAUCAGAGGUUUGCUUCGAUCAGUGCACAACCUGUUAUUCCACGGUGGACUUAUCAACGCGGAGUUCAUCGUGCUGCCCCAUUGUUAGAAGGAUGCUUCAUGAUCGCAGCACUCAUCUUCGUGAUGAGCAGAAGGGACAAAUUCAGGUUUUGCCCGAAGGGGGACGAUCGCACAACUAAACCUGAAGAUGGAGAGUGA